GCUUGGGAACAUGCCUUGAGGUGGGGGACAACAGUUGGAAACGACUGCUAAUACCGCAUAAUGUCUACGGACCAAAGGGGGCUUCGGCUCUCGCCUUUAGAUUGGCCCAAGUGGGAUUAGCUAGUUGGUGAGGUAAUGGCUCACCAAGGCGACGAUCCCUAGCUGGUUUGAGAGGAUGAUCAGCCACACUGGGACUGAGACACGGCCCAGACUCCUACGGGAGGCAGCAGUGGGGAAUAUUGCACAAUGGGCGCAAGCCUGAUGCAGCCAUGCCGCGUGUGUGAAGAAGGCCUUCGGGUUGUAAAGCACUUUCAGUCAGGAGGAAAGGGUGGUGGUUAAUACCCGUCAUGUGUGACGUUACUGACAGAA
rnacentral:rRNA from 1 species